CUUGGUCAUUUAGAGGAAGUAAAAGUCGUAACAAGGUCUCCGUUGGUGAACCAGCGGAGGGAUCAUUACCGAGUUUACAACUCCCAAACCCCUGUGAACAUACCUAUACGAUGCCUCGGCGGAUCAGCCCGCGCCCUGUAAAAAGGGACGGCCCGCCCGAGGACCCUAAACUCUGUUUUUAGUGGAACUUCUGAGUAAAACAAACAAAUAAAUCAAAACUUUCAACAACGGAUCUCUUGGUUCUGGCAUCGAUGAAGAACGCAGCAAAAUGCGAUAAGUAAUGUGAAUUGCAGAAUUCAGUGAAUCAUCGAAUCUUUGAACGCACAUUGCGCCCCUUGGUAUUCCGAGGGGCAUGCCUAUUCGAGCGUCAUUAUCACCCCUCAAGCCUAGCUUGGUGUUGAGACCUGCUGUCAAGGCAGUCUCUAAAAUCAGUGGCAGUGCUGUCAGGCUCUAAGCGUAGUAAAUCUAAUCGCUAUAGACACCUGGUGGACACUCGCCAGAACCCCCCCAUUUUUUAAUGAUUGACCUCGGAUUAGGUAGGGAUACCCGCUGAACUUAAGCAUAUCAAUAAGCGGAGGA
rnacentral:misc_RNA from 1 species